rnacentral:piRNA from 1 species
UGGGCAAGAAAACUGGGUCCACUCAGGCUGU